ACUUGCUUUCUUUGCUGGCGACCGGCGCACGGGUGAGUAACACGUAUCCAACCUGCCCUUUACUCGGGGAUAGCCUUUCGAAAGAAAGAUUAAUACCCGAUAGCAUAAUGAUUCCGCAUGGUUUCAUUAUUAAAGGAUUCCGGUAAAGGAUGGGGAUGCGUUCCAUUAGGUUGUUGGCGGGGUAACGGCCCACCAAGCCUUCGAUGGAUAGGGGUUCUGAGAGGAAGGUCCCCCACAUUGGAACUGAGACACGGUCCAAACUCCUACGGGAGGCAGCAUG
rnacentral:rRNA from 1 species